rnacentral:rRNA from 1 species
GACGAACGCUGGCGGCGUGCCUAACACAUGCAAGUCGAGCGAAUGAAGUUCUUUCGGGAAUGGAUUUAGCGGCGGACGGGUGAGUAACACGUGGGCAACCUGCCUCAUAGAGGGGAAUAGCCUUCCGAAAGGAAGAUUAAUACCGCAUAAGAUUGUAGUACCGCAUGGUACAGCAAUUAAAGGAGCAAUCCGCUAUGAGAUGGGCCCGCGGCGCAUUAGCUAGUUGGUGAGGUAACGGCUCACCAAGGCGACGAUGCGUAGCCGACCUGAGAGGGUGAUCGGCCACAUUGGGACUGAGACACGGCCCAGACUCCUACGGGAGGCAGCAGUGGGGAAUAUUGCACAAUGGGGGAAACCCUGAUGCAGCAACGCCGCGUGAGUGAUGACGGCCUUCGGGUUGUAAAGCUCUGUCUUCAGGGACGAUAAUGACGGUACCUGAGGAGGAAGCCACGGCUAACUACGUGCCAGCAGCCGCCGUAAGAC